CAUUGGUUUCCUGCUCAUCUGUCCCUGCCUCCAAUUCAAUCAGCUUGACUAUCAACCCGGGUGCCACGCCGCUAAGAUAAACGCACGCAGACUCCUAUCUAAUUUGGUUCGAUGAAGUCUCCGACGCGAUCGAGUGAUCGUACUCCCUUCAAAGACAUGUCGAACUCUACGAACCAAAGUGUCAUCGAUAUUAAUAAUGGAGGGGAACCUAUAGAUGUGAAAGAGCGCAAGCGGCAACGUGCUAGGGAACGAUAUGCGCAGAUGGAUGCAGAUAAAAAAGAUGAGCUACUUAAAAAGCGUCGUGAAGCCUAUCAACAAAAGAAAGCUCGACUAUUGGUUCAUUCCCAAGAGACAGAAUCAAGUCAAGAUACGUCAGUUGUUAAAGGUGCUUAAUAGUAGGCAUAUUAUUACUUGCAAAUAUAACAAUUUCGUUGUUCCAUGUUUCUAAGCAACUAUACCUCACGUGCCAUGGUUAGAACAAGAAGACACUUCUUGCAACAAGGAAAAUAUGGUUCCUCUUGAAGAUAAUGAGGGCUAUGGUCGCUUCUGCGCCACUCACGCACAGUCAUGAGUAUCAACAUUUGCUGUCCUUCUAGCAAAACGAAUAUCAAAAGACUCAAAAAGUGGACUGCUUGG